CUAUUUUUCCUCGUAGGAUCUUCCAGAUUUCACCAAAUCUGGGAUGGAAUAAAUUUAAAAUUUUUUUAUCCUAUAUAUAUUUUAAAUCUAAAUUUCUAGAUCUAAUCUUAUUAUCUGAUAUUUUAAAUCUAAAAUUAAAACUAAAACUAUGAUGAAAGAAGAAAUACCUCAAGGGUUAUCUGAUUACCCUGUAGAUGAUCUCUACACAGCCCG
rnacentral:lncRNA from 1 species